rnacentral:rRNA from 1 species
AAACUUGAGAGUUUGAUCAUGGCUCAGAACGUACGCUGGCGGCACGCCUUAUACAUGCAAGUCGAACGAAGUAGCAAUACUUAGUGGCAGACGGGUGAGUAACAUGUGGGUAUCUUCCCUUUGGUGAGGAAUAACACGAGGAAACUUGUGCUAAUACCUCAUAAGUCUUUACGGAGAAAGCUUUAUGCGCCAAUGGAUGAGCCCGCACUUGAUUAGUUUGUUGGUGGGGUAAUGGCCUACCAAGACUUUGAUCAAUAGCUGAUUUGAGAGGAUGAUCAGCCACAUUGGGACUGAGACACGGCCCAAACUCCUACGGGAGGCAGCAGUAGGGAAUCUUGCACAAUGGAGGAAACUCUGAUGCAGCGAUGCCGCGUGAGUGAAGAAGGCCUUUGGGUUGUAAAGCUCUUUCGUCGGGGAAGAAAAUGACUGUACCCGAAUAAGAAGGUCCGGCUAACUUCGNNNNNNNNNNCCAGCAGCCGCGGUAAUACGAAGGGACCUAGCGUAGUUCGGAAUUACUGGGCUUAAAGAGUUCGUAGGUGGUUAAAAAAGUUGGUGGUGAAAUCCCAGAGCUUAACUCUGGAACUGCCAUCAAAACUUUUUAGCUAGAGUAUGAUAGAGGAAAGCAGAAUUUCUAGUGUAGAGGUGAAAUUCGUAGAUAUUAGAAAGAAUACCAAUUGCGAAGGCAGCUUUCUGGAUCAUUACUGACACUGAGGAGCG